GUUUCACCUGACAAACUGAAAGGUUUUUUUGUUUGUUUUUGUUUUGUUUUGUUUUGUUUUGGAGACAGGAUCUUGCUCCGUCACCUGGGCUGGAGUGCAGUGGCAUGAUCUUGGAUUCUAAUCUCUGCCUCCUGGGCUCAAGCGAUCCUCUUGCCUUAGCCUCCAGAGUAGCUGGAACUACAGGUGACAUGGCUUCUCCUGCUUCACCUUCCACCAUGAGUAAAUGCUCCCUAAGGCCUCCCUGGAAGCUGAGCAGAUGUCAGCACCAUGCUUCCUGUAAAGCCUGCAGAACUGUGAGCCAUUUAAACCUCUUUUCUUUAUAAAUUACCCAGUCUCAGGUAUUUAUUUACAACAACGCAAGAACAGCCUGAUACAAACACUUAACAUAAAAUCUACCUUAACAAAUUGUUAAGUGUACAAUACAGUAUUGUUAACUAUAGUCACGAUGUGGUACAACAGAUCUCUGGAACUUGUUCAUCUUGUGUAACUGAAGCUUUAUCCCCCUGAAUAACAGCUACCAUUCCCUAAGCCCCUUACAGCCCCUGGCAGCCAUCAUUCUAUUCUCUAUAUGAGUUUGACUAUUUUAAAUACAUCAUGAAAGUGGAAUCAUGAGGUAUUUGUCUUUCUGUGACUAGUUUGUUUCACUUAGCAUAAUAUCCUCAAAGUUCUUCCAUAUUGUCAUGUGUGGCAGGAUUUUCUUCUUUUUCAAGGCUGAAUAAUAUUCCAUUUAUAUUCAUACCACAUUUUUUUUUUUAGACAGAGUCUUGUUCUGUCACCCAGGCUGGAGUGUAGUGGUACUAUCUUGGCUCACUGUAACCUCUGCCUCCCAUGUUCAAGCGAUUCUUUUGCCUCAGCCUCCUGAGUAGCUGGGAUUACAGGUGAGUGCCACCACACCCAGCUAAUUUUUAUAUUUUUAGUAGACACGGGGUUUCACCAUGUUAGUCACAGGCUGGUCUUGAACUCCUGGCCUCAGGUGAUCCACCCACCUCAACCUCCCAAAGUGCUGGGAUUACAGGUAUGAGCCGCCGUACCUGGUCUCUUACCACAUUUAUUGACUCAUCUGUUGAUGGGCAUUUAGGUUGUUUCCAUAUCUUGACUAUAAUAAUAUAAUGAUAAUGCUGCAAUGAACAUGGGAGUGCAAAUAUCUCUAGCACAUCUUUACUUCAAUUCUUCUUGAUAAAUACCUAGAAAUAGGAUUGCUGAAUCAUCUGGUAGUUCUAUUUUUAAUUUUUUAAGGAACGCUCCAUACUGUUUUCCAUCAGGGCUGUACCAUUUUACAGUCUUAACAACAGAGUACAAGGGUUCCAAUUUCUCCACAUCCCACCAACACUUGUUAUCUUUUAUUUUUUUCAUGGUAGCCAUCCUAAUAGGUGUGAGGUGGUUAGAACCUUAUUUUCUAAUCUCAGCCCUGGGGACUUGCUUCUGCUGCAUUCCUUUUUCCAAGAGCAUCUUUCUCUCACCGCAGGGGGUUCUAGGAUCUCUUCAGGGGUCACCUGGGCACAUAGCCCCAAAUCCUGUCUGAAGAUUUGCUUCAAGUAGUUUUGGCUUCUGGAGAGGCAGGGAGCUCUAUCCACCAUUUUUGAGAGAGAUGGGAGAGAGAAUGUGUGCAAAUCCUUCGGGGGAGACCCCCUGAAGACUUUAUUAUUGGGAGCAAAGUACCUACGUCCUGUGUUUCCAUUUGAUCAUCUGUUAGGUGUGCAGUUAUAUGCCUCCAUGAUACCCCAUAUCAUUGCUUUGUAGCAUUUAGAUCAACUAUAAUUAUUUGUGUGAUCAUCAGUUUAAUGUCUCCCUUCCUUCUUUCCCUCUCUCAAGAAAGCGCCCUGAAGGUAGGGCCAUGUUUGAAUUGCUGUGCAUGGCUGUAUACAUAGCAUCUAGCAGAGGGAUCGACUCAAGAUACACACUCAACAAUAAAUACCUGCUAAAUGAUGAAUGUAAAAGUUCAGUCCCUCAAGUCAUCCACAGAACUUUCCCAGAUUACAUUCACCAGACUUCUUCUUUCUAGCACUGUGAGGGAAAAAUUUGAUUUUCAACUGUUAAUGAACUCUAAACCUGAAAAACAAGACAUAUAUUAUAGGGUUGGCUUUGACCAAAGGCCUGCCACCUCUGGCCUGAGAAGUUUUCUUGGUAACUAUAACUAUGAGCUGGAAAUAAAAAGCUGUUCUGUUUAUUUACACAAUUGGCAACGAUUUAUUGGAGGGAGAUAACAUUAAGAACUUCAGGAACACUUCCUUUGAAACUUGGAAAUAGUUAUUCAUUCAAUACUUUUUUAAAUCUCUUUCUCAGAGAGUAUAACUUUUUGUGCCUGGUGUGCCUUCUUCUUUUAAGAAUCUUUUUUGUUUUUGUUUUCAAGACAAGAUCUCACUCUGUCACUCAAGCUACAGUGCAGUGGCAUGAUCUUGGCUUACUUCAGCCUCGACUUCCUGGGCUCAAGUGAUCCUCCCACCUCAACUCCAGAGUAGCCUGAACUUCAGGUGUGCACCACCAUGACACGCUAAAUUUUUUUUCUUUGGUAGAGACGGAUUCUCACUAUGUUGGCCAGGCUGGUCUUGAACUCCUGGUCUCGAACAAUCCUCUGCGACCUCCCAGAGUGCUGGGUUUACAGUUGUGAGUCACCCUGCCCAGCCUGGUGUACCUUUUUCUGAUCUUUUGUUAACUGAGGGUUUUUCCUCUUCCUUCUACAAUGUAAACAUUAACAGCAGCAGAAGAAAGUGAAGUGCCAAAUCCUGUAUUAAUACACCAGUUGUGGAAGUGCACUCACUUGAGCAGUCUCAGAGUGGACAGAGUUAGCUGACCUUCACAAAGCCGGACAGCAAAGUCCUGGACAGAAAAGGCCACUGGGAGAGUUUCCUGGGGCUCAGCCAGGCUGCUGCCUUGUUCACACCCCCAGGAGGGUAAAGUGCUCUGGGUUAUCCAUAGCUCACUCAGUAGGGGUAAGUGAGAGGAAGGGGAGGUGAGCAGGAACAGACAUAUUGAUGACGGGGCUCAUACAACGUGAUUUUGUCAUUCCAGCCACCUGGUGUCCUCCGUGGGUUUCAGACCCCAAGCUAAUGCCCCCUUUUCCCUACUAUAGCAAUGUUGAAGGCCCCUUCAGCACCCCUAUUGCCCUUCAUACCAUAAUUUGGCUGAAUAACUCCAGUCCCCACCUUGUCCCAUGAAUUCUCAACAGGUUUCAGUAGGGGUUCAGUGUGGUUUCCUGGUCUUCUCCCUUCCCCUUUGCUUGAGUGAUGUAGUGGGUUGAACACAUCCCCCCACAAAAGUAUGUCUAAGUCCUAACCCCUGGAACCUAUGAAGGUAACUUCCUUUGGAUAAAAAGUUCUUUGCAAAUGUAAUGUAAGGAUCUUGAGGUCAAAUCAUCCAGGAUUUAGCCGGGCACCGUAGAUCCAAGGACACCUGAAGAAGAGGAGAGGACACACAGACCCAGAGGAAAAGGUUAUGUGAAGAUGGAGUCAGGAAUUGAUGAGCACCACAAGCCAAGGAACACCAAAGAUGGCCAGCAGCCACCAGAAGCUAAGAGAGAGGCAUGGAACACGUUCUCCCUCAGAGCCUACAGAAGGAGCCAGCCCUGACAACACCUUCACUUUGGACUUCUGGCCUCCACCAAAUGAGAGAAUAAGUUUCUGUUGUUUUCCGCCACCCAGUUUGUUAAUUUGUUAUGGCAACGCCAGGAAACUAGGAGAGUAUAAUUUGGAAAAGAUCUUUAAGAUCCGCCACCCAGUUUGUUAAUUUGUUAUGGCAACGCCAGCAAACUAGGUGAGUAUAAUUUGGAAAAGACCUUUAAGACCUGAGUUGUUAUCUACCCACGUUGUCUUUUCAACAGCAUUGUGUAAGCUGAUGCAACCAGGACUUGCAGGUGUUGAGGAAGAGUGCUAGGUCAUGUGUUGUUAACCAUCAGCCCCUAAAGCAGUGGCUGUUCAUGGCAGAUAACACCUCUCUUAUUCUUAUCACCUGAGAAAAUGAGAGAACAGCCAUGCAGCUUAGGGACCACUCAGCUGGGUGGGGAGUGGGUGGAAAGGGCAAUCAUUUGAGCAGGGUCACAGGACUUUCCUCUCCCCACUUGUUUUUGCUUAGCACAUAAGCAGGAAAAGAACAGUGUCCCUGUUCACAGCAGCCACCACCAGUUAGACUGCAAACACAAUCCUUUUCUUUUCUUUCCUUCUUUCUUUUUUUUUUUUGAGACAGAGUCUCACUCUACUGCCCAGGCUGGACUGCAGUGGUGUGAUCUCGGCUCACUGCAACCCCUGCCUCCUGGGUUCAAGCGAUUCUCCUGCCUCAGCCUCCCAAGCAGCUGGGACUACAGACGUGCGCCAACACACCCAGCUAAUUUUUGUAUUUUUAGUACAGACGGGGUUUCACCAUCUUAGCCAGGAUGGUCUCGAUCUCCUGACCUCAUGAUCUGCCCGCCCUGGCCUUCCAAAGUGCUGGGAUGACAGGCAUGAGUCACUGUGCCCAGCUGUCCUUUUCUUAAAUGAUAGAAUUUUCUCUAUGGGGCAAAGCAAUGCAACAUUCACAAUCAGAGAAAAGAAAUCCUCGCACCCUCACUAUUCUCUUUGGUCUUUUCCUCUCCCAGGCACCAGCCCUUUCACCUGAUGUCAGAGCAGCACAGCUGAAAGCUGUAACCUGGGUGAGGUGGAGGGCGACUAGCAGGCAUGCGCAGAGAGUUGUCAUCGAAAAUAACAAGACUAUUCUGGAUAUGAGUAACACUGAGGAAUAAGAUACUAAGCCAUUAAAGAAGGGUAUAAAAAUUAUGUCUGACACAGGAUAUGGAGAGAAAUAUGAUGAAGAUGAAAUAUGACAACAGAAUCAAGAGCACCAUUUUUCACUUGAAAGAGCGACUGGCAGACAAACUGUGGUUAUUCAAACUUGGGUAUUCAGCAGAACUUUACUCAAAAACAUAUGAAGUAAACCUGUCAUUUUGAGGAAAGAAAAACUGACAGUUUAUUAAAGAUAAAAUUUGGGUUUUCAACUAAAAUUUUGAAUUUUGGAAGACCUGCAUUCACCACUCAGCUGCAGACCCAAUGUAAUCACCAAGAGAGAAUGAAAACCUCCAACUACCAUGAAUCAGGCUUAACACAAAAUCAGGUUCUCCAUGUUGCCCAAGCUGGUCCUGAACUCCUGACCUCAAGUGAUUUGCCCACCUUCGCCUCUCAAAGUGUGGAAUUACAGGUACGAGCCACCACAGCCGGCUCACCUUUUCAUGUAAAGGAAGCACUUUAUGACUUCUCUUUGGCAUAUCCAGAUUGCCAGCGUCCUUACCCUCACACUCUGGGGCCAUUAUUACGUAAAAUAAGGGUUACCUGAAUGCAGCACUGUGGUACCAUGACAGCCAAUCUGCUCCCAGGGAUGGCUGCUAAGUGACUAUCACGAGGGGAGGGCAGGGAGCAUAGAUAGUGUGAUCACUGGACAAAGGGAUGAUUCACCUCCCUUGAGGGACAGAAGGGGAGUGCUUGAGAUUUCAUCAUGCUACUCAGAACAGCACACAAUUUAAAACUUAUGAAUUGUUUAUUUCUGGAGUUUUCAUUUUAAUAUUUUUGAACUGCAGCUGACUGAGGGUAACUAAGACCACGGAAAGUGAAAGCAUGGAUUAAGUGGAACUACUGUGUAUGUACAGAUAUAUAUAUAUAUAUAUAUAUACACACACACACAAACACAUAUAUGUAUAUAUAGAUACAUAAAUCUAUAUCAUAUACAUAUAUGUAUAUACAUGUAUACAUCUAUAUAUACACAUAUUUAUAGAUAUACAUUCUUAUGUAAACUAGACUAUACAUUCUUUGACAUUAGGAAAUGUGUUUUAUCUAUUAUUUAUCACCAGAGCCUAGAUGGUCAGUAGGUUUUUGUUUUUGUUUUUUUUUCUGAGACAGAGUCUCGGUCUGUCGCCCAGGCUGGAGUGCAGUGGCGCGAUCUCUGCUCACUGCAAGCGCUGCCUCCUAGGUUCACGCCAUUCUCCUGCCUCAGCCUCCCAAGUAGCUGGGACUACAGGCGCCCGCCACCACGCCUGGCUAAUUUUUUUUUUGUAUUUUUAGUAGAGACGGGGUUUCACCAUGUUAGCCAGGAUCAUCCUGAUCUCCUGACCUCGUGAUCCGCCUGCCUCGGCCUCCCAAAGUGCUGGGAUUACAGGCGUGAGCCACCGCGCCCGGCCACGGUCAGUAGGUUUUAGUUGAAUCAAUGAACAAUGUUUAAAGACAGUGACCACUUGGUUUCUGUCUAUCUCCAUUGAAGAUUAAAUAACAGCACUUACACUUCAACCUUUAAGUAUUAAAAAUAAUAAGUUAUAUAUUAGAAUGAGUUGUUAAAUUUUGUGGACUCUUUUCUGCCUUCUUUCUUCAUAUGAGGACACAUUUUUAUUUGUCUAAGACAGCAUAGGAUGUCUUCUGCUUGGUUUUGUACUGGUAGAUCAAAAUUAACUUUCUCGGAUCUGAAAUAAUUUUUUUGCUAGAUCAAAAUAAAUUUCUCCAGGGAAACAAUGCAUAUUCAAAUAGCCUAAUUUCUAAUAAUGCAGGGGACCAAAAACAGUUAAAGGAGAAAGAUUUGGUUCAGUUUUAAUUAUGACUUUCACUUGCUUAUUAUGGGAUUUCUUUUUGGGACUUAACAUUUUUAUUUUAGAUCCAACACUAACUGUCAAUGCUUAACUAACAUGACUGAAGAAGUUGAUCUUACAUUUAUAUUUCUAUUCUUAUUACAGAAUGGAUUUAAUAUGUUAAGAUGUUGAACAGAACCAUGAACUGCAUUUCACAAAAUGGUACAUUUCAUAAAAUCUAAAAUCCCAGCAAAAUGAUAGGGACAACAACUUAGCACGCUGUUAAUUUUUCACUUAAGGGUGCCAAAAUGAUAUUUCAGUCUUUUUUACAUAGACAGGUCAAAUGUCAUUCAGUGGCACUCCUGAACACAGGCAAGUCAUUUUCAGAGGUGAAAAAGCUGUGGUUGGCUGCUCUUGAAACAGGUUUCUCUACAAUCCACCUCUCAUCUUUCUUCUCUUACCGAACCCACUCUGGUGUUCACGUCCUGCUACAUGUAGGCAAGAGUAUACCCAUCCUACGCCUUUUAACUCUUUUGAGGGGCAUACAUAAUUCAAGGACAAUUAACUUGUUCUACAAAUACCAGUUUAGGUGUCAAUUUAGCAUUCUGCAAAUAAGGUAUAAUACUAUAGAAAUGGAAGGGGUGAUUUCCCCAAGUAAUAGGUCUCUUACGGAAAACAUGCAAGCACGUUUGUGUCUGUUUGGCUUAGUGCUGUAUUCUUCAAAGUCUUGAGCAGGGCCUGGUGCAGACUGUAUACCCAACAAAUAUUUCUCUUAUUAAAAAGUAUAAAGUGAAAGCACAAAAGGGAUGGUUCAGCAAGAUAAGAAAGAUGAGAGGUGGAUUACAGACACACCUGUUUCAAGAGCAGUCAACCACAGCUUUUUCACCUACUGAAAAUGACUGGCCUGUGUUCAAGAGCACCACUGAAUUACAUUCAAUCUUUCUAUUUAAAAGAAACUGAAACAUCAUUUUGGUACUCUUAAGAAUUUUUUUAUUUUAACUAUUUAAAUUUUUUAUUUGUAUAAAUUUAUGGGUACAAGUGUAAUUUUUUUGCAUGUAUUGAUUGCAUAGUGGUCACCCUUUUAGUGUAUCCAUCACCCUAAUAAUGUACAUUGUACCAAUAAAGAAUUUCUCAUCAUCCCUUCUCCUUCUCUCCAGUCUUCUGAGUCUCCACUAUCAUUCCAAACUCUAUGUCCAUAUGUACAUUUUAUUUAGCUCUUGCUUAUAAGUGAGACCAUGAUAAUGGAAGAGAGAUUGGUUAAGCUGACUUCCCAAAGUUCUCCCAACCCUGAGAUUCUAUGAUUCUAGCAGGCUGGAUCUCUUGUAGUGUUCUCAGAGAGAACAGCUACUAACCAGUG